rnacentral:rRNA from 1 species
GAACGCUGGCGGUAUGCUUAACACAUGCAAGUCGAACGAACGAGAUCCUAGCUUGCUAGGAUCAAGUUAGUGGCAAACGGGUGAGUAACACGUGGGAAUCUACCCAGUAGUACGGAAUAACAGUUGGAAACGACUGCUAAUACCGUAUAGUAUCGAGAGAUUAAAGAUUUAUCGCUACUGGAUGAGCCCGCGUCAGAUUAGGUAGUUGGUGGGGUAAAGGCCUACCAAGCCGAAGAUCUGUAGCUGGUCUGAGAGGAUGAUCAGCCACACUGGAACUGAGACACGGUC